UACGUAGGCAGCGAGCGUUGUCCGGAAUCAUUGGGCGUAAAGGGCGCGUAGGUGGCCACUUCAAGCGUGCGGUGAAAGUCGGGGGCUCAACCUCGGAUCGGCCGUGGCGACUCGUGGGCUGGAGCACUGUAGAGGCGGGUGGAAUUCCGGGUGUAGCGGUGGAAUGCGUAGAGAUCCGGAAGAACACCGGUGGCGAAGGCGGCCUGCUGGGCAGUUUUGCUGACACUGAGGCGCGACAGCGUGGGGAGCAAACAGG
rnacentral:rRNA from 1 species